rnacentral:rRNA from 1 species
CCUACGGGUGGCAGCAGUGGGGAAUAUUGCGCAAUGGGCGAAAGCCUGACGCAGCGACGCCGCGUGAGGGAUGAAGGUCUUCGGAUCGUAAACCUCUGUCAGCAGGGAAGAACGGUCACUGUGCUAAUCAGCAGUGAAUUGACGGUACCUGCAAAGGAAGCACCGGCUAACUCCGUGCCAGCAGCCGCGGUAAUACGGAGGGUGCGAGCGUUAAUCGGAAUUACUGGGCGUAAAGCGCUCGUAGGCGGUAUGUCAAGUCAAGGGUGAAAUCCCCGCGCUCAACGUGGGAACUGCCUUUGAAACUGGCAAACUGGAGUGUGUGAGAGGAUAGUGGAAUUCCAGGUGUAGGAGUGAAAUCCGUAGAUAUCUGGAGGAACACCAGUGGCGAAGGCGGCCUGCUGGGCUUUUACUGACGCUGAGGCUCGAAAGUGUGGGGAGCAAACAGGAUUAGAUACCCCAGUAGUC